rnacentral:rRNA from 1 species
GGGAACUCAAAGGAGACUGCCGGUGAUAAACCAGAGGAAGGUGGGGAUGACGUCAAGUCAUCAUGGCCCUUACGAGUAGGGCUACACACGUGCUACAAUGGCGUAUACAAAGAGAAGCGACCUCGCGAGAGCAAGCGGAACUCGUAAAGUACGUCGUAGUCCGGAUUGGAGUCUGCAACUCGACUCCAUGAAGUCGGAAUCGCUAGUAAUCGUAGAUCAGAAUGCUACGGUGAAUACGUUCCCGGGCCUUGUACACACCGCCCGUCACACCAUGGGAGUGGGUUGCAAAAGAAGUAGGUAGCUUAACCUUCGGGAGGGCGCUUACCACUUUGUGAUUCAUGACUGGGGUGAAGUCGUAACAAGGUAACCA